rnacentral:rRNA from 1 species
UACGAAGGGGGCUAGCGUUGUUCGGAAUCACUGGGCGUAAAGGGCGCGUAGGCGGCCAUUCAAGUCGGGGGUGAAAGCCUGUGGCUCAACCACAGAAUUGCCUUCGAUACUGUAUGGCUCGAGACCGGAAGAGGUUAGUGGAACUGCGAGUGUAGAGGUGAAAUUCGUAGAUAUUCGCAAGAACACCAGUGGCGAAGGCGGCUAACUGGUCCGGUUCUGACGCUGAGGCGCGAAAGCGUGGGGAGCAAACAGG